CCUUCCCUCUCCCUUCCCGUCAUUUGUUUCGCUGUACGCGCACCUCACCUCUGUUUCUAGUUCUAAUAUCAAGUGAAAUACUUCGGCACCUCGACUCAUGCCCAUAUGAUCAGAUCGCCCGCUGUACCUCAUUUUUCUUUGUUCUACUAUGUAAGAUGCUCGCAAUAGCACUCUCAUCACGUGAUGGGCUUUAAUUGAAUGCCCGAAAAAUAUUAAGCAAAAUGUCCCGCCGCUGUAACUCACAUUUGUAAAUGAACUAGUGAAUAGUCGCUCUGGUCCCGCCUAACAUUUAAUGCCCC
rnacentral:lncRNA from 1 species